AGCGAACGCUGGCGGCAGGCCUAACACAUGCAAGUCGAACGGACCCUUCGGGGUUAGUGGCGGACGGGUGAGUAACACGUGGGAACGUGCCCUUUGGUUCGGAACAACUCAGGGAAACUUGAGCUAAUACCGAAUGUGCCCUCCGGGGGAAAGAUUUAUCGCCAUUGGAGCGGCCCGCGUCUGAUUAGCUAGUUGGUGAGGUAAUGGCUCACCAAGGCGACGAUCAGUAGCUGGUCUGAGAGGAUGAUCAGCCACAUUGGGACUGAGACACGGCCCAAACUCCUACGGGAGGCAGCAGUGGGGAAUCUUGCGCAAUGGGCGAAAGCCUGACGCAGCCAUGCCGCGUGAAUGAUGAAGGUCUUAGGAUUGUAAAAUUCUUUCACCGGGGACGAUAAUGACGGUACCCGGAGAAGAAGCCCCGGCUAACUUCGUGCCAGCCGCCGCGGUAAAAC
rnacentral:rRNA from 1 species